rnacentral:rRNA from 1 species
CCAAUAGCAUAUAUUGAAGUUGUUGCAGUUAAAACGCUCGUAGUUGAAUUUUAGGCCUGGCCGGGCGGUCCGUCUUUGGCGAGUACUGUCCUGUGUCGGGCCUUCCUUCUGGUGAACCAGCAUGUCCUUUAUUGGGCGUGCCGGGGAGCCAGGACUAUUACCUUGAAAAAAUUAGAGUGUUUAAAGCAGGCGAUUGCUUGAAUAGAUUAGCAUGGAAUAAUAAAAUAGGACGUUGGUUCUAUUUUGUUGGUUUCUAGGAUCAACGUAAUGAUUAAUAGGGGUAGUUGGGGGCAUUAGUAUUCAAUUGUCAGAGGUGAAAUUCUUAGAUUUAUUGAAGACUAACUACUGCGAAAGCAUUUGCCAAGGAUAUCUUCAUUAAUCAAGAACGAAAGUUAGGGGAUCGAAGACGAUUAGAUACCGUCGUAGUCUUAACCGUAAACUAUGCCGACUAGGAAUCGGGCGAAGUUAUUUUUCUGACUCGCUCGGCGCCUUACG